AGCGGUUUCUAUAAGAGAUGAUUGGCUGGGUUAGCCUCAGGGGGCGGGAGGAGAGGAAGACUUGGCUGGGGAUUCGUGGGAGAGGAGCGGAAGUAGGCCGCUGGCGCGGUUGAGCCGGCGUGAAGAGAAAAGAGGAGCGUUUGGGGCUUCGGCGUCUGUCAGCAGGAUGAGAAUACUAUAGCCAGCUCCCAUCCCUGGCUUCGUUUUCCAAGGUUUCCGUUACCUGUGGUCAACCUUGGUAUGAAAAUAUUAAAUGGAAAUUCUAGAAAUAAACAAUUUAUAAGUUUUAAAUUGCCGUUCUGAGUAUUGUGAAGAAAGAUGAAGUCUUUCUAUCUUGUGCUGUCCAGGAGGUAAAUCAUUCCUUUAUCCAGCAUAUCAGAGAGAGAUCCCCACAUUCAUGUAACUUUUAUUAUAAUAUGUUGUUAUAGUUGUUCUAGUGUUAUUGUUAAUCUCCGACUAAUUUAUAAAUUAAAUUUUGUCCUAGGUGUGUAUGUAUAGGUAAAAACAGUACAUUUAGGCUUUGGUACUGUCCACAGUUUCAGACAUCCACUGGGCAUCUUGGAACAUAUCUUCCUUCAGUCUUUAUUACAUGCUUUAUUUCUCACUAUGCACCAGCCCCAAUCCUGUUCCAGCCAAAUUCAUCCUCUCUUUGUUCCUUAAAAAUCUGACAUGGCACUCCUAGUGCAGAACCUUUACCUAGAAUCUCUUCUCUCAGUUCUUGGCAUGGCUGAUGCCUUCUUGUCAUUUACGUCUCUCUGUUCAACUGUCCUCUCCUUAGAGAAGCCUUUCCAAGGGUCAUCUGGAUAGUGUUCAAACUCACAGAGUGUAAGCUUGAAUAGCAGUGAUCUAAGCUGCUAGCAUUUCUUAUCCAGCAACCUCUGUAACCUCUCUGGAGUCCUAAAGCCUCAUAAUGCUAGGUAUAUUUUUGUAUCUACAUCUCACAUUAAGAAAAAAAAAAUUUUUUUUUUUUUUGCAUUUAAAUGAAUUUUCCUCUCUUUGAAACUAUUUGACUAUAAGAAAAUUUACAUUUGUGGUGGCUGUGAUUUCUUGGUAAUCUGUGGGCAUACUUGGAAAUUUUUGUGACUAAAAAAUCUAAUUUUCAAAUUAUUUCUAAAUGUGUUUAAUUGUUUAUGAGUCCUAAAUUUAAUGUUGAAUGAAGUUGACAUAAUGUUAGUUUCUAGAUAUUUAAUUAAACAUUUACUCCAA